rnacentral:rRNA from 1 species
AUUGAACGCUGGCGGCAGGCUUAACACAUGCAAGUCGAGCGGAGCGGCGGCCGGGUGAGUAAUGCCUAGGUAUCUGCCAGUUACUGGUGGAUAACGUCCGGUACUGGGCGCUAAUACCGCAUACUAUUUGAUGAGCCUGGGUGGGAUUAGCUAGUUGGUGGGGUAAAGGCUUACCAAGGCGACGAUCAGUAACUGGUCUGUGAGGAUGAUCAGUCACACGGGAACGGAGACACGGUCCAGACUCCUACGGGAGGCAGCAGUGGGGAAUAUUGGACAAUGGGCGAAAGCCUGAUGCAGCCAUGCCGCGUGUGUGAAGAAGGUCUUCGGAUUGUAAAGCACUUUAAGUUGGGAGGCGUUACCAACAGAAGAAGCACCGGCUAACUUCGUGCCAGCAGCCGCGGUAAUAC